AUGUCGUUGUUUGAAAUGCUAGAGCACUAUGAGCGUUGCCUUGCGUCGCGACGGAUUAACGAAGCUCUCCAUGACGUCGAAGCCUUGCAGUCCGUUCCAUUUACAGAGGAAAAUGCUUCGCCGCUUGAGAAACACGCCGCAACAGUUUUCGCACCUAGGGUCUUUAAGAUGGUCUUAUGGAGCAUAGAUGCUGUCAGCAAAUGUCAGAUUAGAGAGAUACUAGAUGGAUCAGAAGAUUCCACUUAUGUUGUGUCCAAGCAGGAAAGAAUGGAUAAAAAGUUUGGAGUGCGCAUUGAAGAGCAAGGAGAUCUUUUGCACAGGAGGUACCGCGAGUUGCGGAAUUGUAGUCACGCCGCAAGUUUCCAGGCAUGCCACUCUGAUGAGGACUAUCACCGUCUAAAGAUGCUUUUGCAAGCACAACAUCAUGGCAAGCAAUCAAGUUUUGAACUAGCUGACAGCAAGGAGUCAACUAAUGCUCAGCAUAACAGCAUUAGGUUUGGCCCAUUGAUGCCGCACUCGCAGAAAGUUGAUAAGGUUCUGGAUCCCGUGCAUGUGCCAGGACGAGGUGCACCGAAGAAAAGGUUGCAGGCAAAGACAAAGAAGUCAAGAUCACAGAAUAUUUGUGGCUAUUGCAAGAAACCAGGUCACAAUCGACGUAAAUGCGCUAAAUUUCUAGAGGAUCUCGAGCCUGAACUGUGA
rnacentral:rRNA from 1 species